rnacentral:lncRNA from 1 species
UCUGGAAGUAUGAAUCAACCACCGCCAGUACUCUUGUGGCUUAGAGAAGAUCAUGGCACAGGAUUAUUAGUUUUCUUGGUUAAGUCCCAUGUUCAAAGUUAUAGACUAAGUUGUUUUUGUAUGGCCGAGUUUGAAUGGAACAAAUGGUCGUGCGGCUAUGGAUGUCUCCCCUGACAAAACGGUUACGAGUCUCCAAGCAGUGUUAGUAAUUUCUGCAACCGAAACUGAAUUUAAAGGAGAUGACGCCUUGUAUCGACGGUGUCGUAGGAACAGUGAGAUUCAGGGUUUUUGCUCGAUGACGGAUUUGCCGGAAAUUAGGAUUUGUUCUUGAACAAAGACGAUGGAGUUUGAG